UGAUCUCGGGAGGCACGCGUGGGGGAUGCCCGGUGCGCAGGCGACGGUUACUUCUGGGGACCCGGAGGUCGUGGGUUCGAAUCCCACCCGGCUCGUC
rnacentral:tRNA from 1 species